rnacentral:rRNA from 1 species
UACGUAGGGGGCAAGCGUUGUCCGGAAUCAUUGGGCGUAAAGAGCGUGUAGGCGGCCAGAUAAGUCCGCUGUGAAAUCUCGAGGCUCAACCUCGAGACGUCGGUUGAAACCACCUGGCUAGAGUCCGGAAGAGGAGAGUGGAAUUCCUGGUGUAGCGGUGAAAUGCGCAGAUAUCAGGAAGAACACCCGUGGCGAAGGCGGUUCUCUGGGACGGUACUGACGCUGAGACGCGAAAGCGUGGGGAGCGAACGGG